rnacentral:rRNA from 1 species
AUUGAACGCUGGCGGCACGCCUAACACAUGCAAGUCGAGCGGCAGCGAGACUAGUAGCAAUACUAGUUGUCGGCGAGCGGCGGACGGGUGAGUAACACGUAGGAAUCUGCCCUUAAGCGGGGGAUAACCAAGGGAAACUUUGGCUAAUACCGCAUAAUCUCGAGAGAGCAAAGCUGCCCGCAAGGGUGGCACUUGAGGAGGAGCCUGCGUCCGAUUAGCUAGUUGGUGGGGUAAUGGCCUACCAAGGCGAUGAUCGGUAACUGGUCUGAGAGGACGACCAGUCACACUGGGACUGAGACACGGCCCAGACUCCUACGGGAGGCAGCAGUAAGGAAUAUUGGUCAAUGGACGGAAGUCUGAACCAGCCAUGCCGCGUGCAGGAAGACGGUCCUCUGGAUUGUAAACUGUUUUUGUUAGGGAAGAAACUUCCGUACGUGUACGGGACUGACGGUACCUAAAGAAUAAGGACCGGCUAACUCCGUGCCAGCAGCCGCCGUAAUAC